GGUUUAUAAUUCUUGAUAAAGAAAAAAAGAAAGAACAAAAUGCCGGAAGGAAUAACAGCUGAGAAUCUUUUGAACAACAUCAUGGACUCUAUUUCUGAGGGUGAGCUGAAACACAAAGCUACGUCAUUUUUUCAAGACGAAAGUGAAAGCUCUGUUAGUGCUCAAUUCAAUAGGCUAUUUGGACGUCAAAAACCAAUCCACCACUGUUUAGGUGGAGGCAAAUCGGCUGAUAGCAUGUUGUGGAGAAACAAGAAAAUUUCAGCCGGCGUUUUAAUCAGUGCUACUGCCAUCUGGGUGCUAUUCGAGUGGCUUAACUACAAUUUUCUUUCACUUCUGUGCUUUGGUCUGUCCUUUGGUCUGAUCGCGCAGUUUCUGUUGAAAAAUGCUUCUGGGGUAAUAAACAGGUCUCCUACGGUUCCUCGUCUUGUCUUACCUGAAGACCUCUUCAUCAAUAUUGCCAAGAGAAUUGGCACUGAAUUAAACCAUGGUUUGGGCUUCCUUCAAGAUGCUGCCUUGGGCGGUAAUCUGAAACAAUUCGUAGUGGUUAUACUGAGCUUGUGGGCUGCUGGUAUGAUCGGAACCUGGUGCAACUUCUUGACUGUUCUGUAUAUUGGUUUCAUCGCUGCUCACACUCUACCAGUGCUAUACGAAAGAUAUGAAGAUGAAGUUGAUGGUUUCGUUUACAGUGCCCUCGAUAAGCUUCAAGGCCAUUACAAGAAGCUGGAUUCUGGUGUCCUCAGCAGACUACCGCGAGGCAGCUUCAGGGGAAAGAAGGUUGAAUAAAUCUUCAAUUUACUGAAGGUAAACUCGUGGAGAAAAAACAUUAGCCUGUAUGCAGAGAUCAAAUAUGAAACUCGUUUUCGUGCUUAGGCAACACAUUGCUGUAUGUAUGCUUAGGAUUAAUCGACGAGGUAUUGAACUGUAGGUCAUCUCGUCGUGUAAAUGUUGCAGGUACUUCGAUUGAAGUUUGGCAUUUGAAAAUAAAUUGAAUUUUGC
rnacentral:misc_RNA from 1 species